rnacentral:rRNA from 1 species
UGGGGAAUAUUGCACAAUGGGCGCAAGCCUGAUGCAGCAACGCCGCGUGAACGAUGAAGGUCUUCGGAUCGUAAAGCUCUUUUGCAGGGGAAGAUAAUGACGGUACCCUGUGAGGAAGCCCCGGCUAACUACGUGCCAGCAGCCGCGGUAAUACGUAGGGGGCUACCGUUAUCCGGAUUUUCUGGGCGUAAAGGGGGCGUAGGGGGUCUUUCAAGUCGGUGGUUAAAGGCUAGGGCUCAACCGUAGUUAGCCUCCGAAACUGGAAGACUUGAGUGCAGGAGAGGAAAGUGAAAUUCCCAGUGUAGCGGUGAAAUGCAUAGAUAUUAGGAGGAACACCAGUAGCGAAGGCGGCUUUCUGGGCUGCAACUGACACUGAGGCACGAAAGCAUGGGUAGCAAACAGG